UCCUCGAUAGUAUAGUGGUCAGUAUCCCCGCCUGUCACGCGGGAGACCGGGGUCCAAUUCCCCGUCGGGGAG
rnacentral:tRNA from 2 species